AGAGUUUGAUCAUGGCUCAGAGUGAACGCUGGCGGCGUGCCUAACACAUGCAAGUCGAACGAGAACGGGUUAAAGUUUACUUUAACUGUCAGCUAAGUGGCGCACGGGUGAGUAAUAUAUAGUUAAUCUGCCCCAAAGAAGAGAAUAAUUGUUGGAAACGACUUGUAACUCUCUAUAUGCCUUUAUCACAAAAGUGAGCAAGGGAAACAUUUAUGGCUUUGGGAUGAGACUGUACGGUAUCAGUUAGUUGGUAAGGUAAUGGCUUACCAAGACUAUGACGCCUAACUGGUUUGAGAGGAUGAUCAGUCACACUGGAACUGAGACACGGUCCAGACUCCUACGGGAGGCAGCAGUGGGGAAUAUUGCACAAUGGAGGAAACUCUGAUGCAGCAACGCCGCGUGGAGGAUGACACAUUUCGGUGCGUAAACUCCUUUUAUAUGAGAAGAUAAUGACGGUAUCAUAUGAAUAAGCACCGGCUAACUCCGUGCCAGCAGCCGCGGUAAUACGGGGGGUGCAAGCGUUACUCGGAAUCACUGGGCGUAAAGAGCAUGUAGGCGGAUAGAUAAGUUGGAAGUGAAAUCCUAUGGCUUAACCAUAGAACUGCUUCCAAAACUGUCUAUCUAGAAUAUGGGAGAGGUAGAUGGAAUUUCUGGUGUAGGGGUAAAAUCCGUAGAGAUCAGAAGAAUACCGAUUGCGAGGCGAUCUACUGGACAUUAUUGACGCUCAGAUGCGAAAGCGUGGGGAGCAAACAGGAUUAGAUACCCUGGUAGUCCACGCCCUAAACGAUGCACACUAGUUGUUGCCUUGCUAGACAAGGCAGUAAUGCAGUUAACACAGUAAGUGUGCCGCCUGGGGAGUACGGUCGCAAGAUUAAAAUUCAAAGGAAUAGACGGGGACCCGCACAAGCGGUGGAGCAUGUGGUUUAAUUCGACGAUACGCGAAGAACCUUACCUGGCCUUGACAUAGAGAGAACUUACUAGAGAUAGUUUGGUGCUAGCUUGCUAGAACUUUCAUACAGGUGCUGCACGGCUGUCGUCAGCUCGUGUCGUGAGAUGUUGGGUUAAGUCCCGCAACGAGCGCAACCCUCGUGUUUAGUUACUAACAGUUCGGCUGAGGACUCUAGACAGACUGCCUACGCAAGUAGGAGGAAGGUGAGGACGACGUCAAGUCAUCAUGGCCCUUACGGCCAGGGCUACACACGUGCUACAAUGGGGUAUACAAAGAGCCGCAAUACCGUGAGGUGGAGCAAAUCUCAUAAAAUGCCUCCCAGUUCGGAUUGUAGUCUGCAACUCGACUACAUGAAGUUGGAAUCGCUAGUAAUCGUAGAUCAGCUAUGCUACGGUGAAUACGUUCCCGGGUCUUGUACUCACCGCCCGUCACACCAUGGGAGUUGAUUUCAUUCGAAGCGGGGAUGCUAAAAUAGCUACCUUCCACAGUGGAAUUAGCGACUAGGGUGAAGUCGUAACAAGGUAACCGUA
rnacentral:rRNA from 1 species